UACGUAGGGGGCAAGCGUUGUCCGGAAUUAUUGGGCGUAAAGGGCUCGUAGGCGGUGUGUCGCGUCGGCCGUGAAAACCUGCAGCUCAACUGUGGGCUUGCAGCUGAUACGGGCGGGCUGAGUUGGUAGGGGAGACGUGGAAUUCCUGGUGUAGCGGUGAAAUGCGCAGAUAUCAGGAGGAACACCGGUGGCGAAGGCGGGUCUCUGGGCAACACUGACGUGAGGAGCGAAAGCGUGGGGGAGCAACAG
rnacentral:rRNA from 1 species